rnacentral:rRNA from 1 species
GAUGAACGCUGGCGGCGUGCCUAAUACAUGCAAGUCGAGCGAACGGACGAGAAGCUUGCGUCUCUGAUGUUAGCGGCGGACGGGUGAGUAACACGUGGAUAACCUACCUAUAAGAGUGGGAUAACUUCGGGAAACCGGAGCUAAUACCGGAUAAUAUUUUGAACCGCAGGGUUCAAAAGUAAAAGACGGUCGUGCUGGCACGUAUAGAUGGAUACGCGCUGCAUUGGCUGGUUGGUAAGGUAACGGCUUACCAAGGCAACGAUGCAUUGCCGACCUGAGAGGGUGAUCGGCCACCCUGGAACUUGGACACGGUCCAGACUCCUACGGGAGGCAGCAGUAGGGAAUCUUCCGCAAUGGGCGAAAGCCUGACGGAGCGACGCCGCGUGAGUGAUGAAGGUCUUCGGAUCGUAAAGCUCUGUUAUUAGGGAAGAACAUAUGUGUAAGUAACUGUGGACAUCUUGACGGUACCUAAUCAGAAAGCCCCGGCUAACUACGUG